UAAAUAUUCCCUCCGUUCCAUAAUUCUUGUCGAAAUAUUACAUGUAUCUAGACGCUUUUUAGGAAUAGAUACAUCCAUUUUUGGACAAAUUUGAGACAAGAAUUAUGGAACGGAGGGAGUACUCC
rnacentral:pre_miRNA from 1 species